GAUGAACGCUGGCGGCGUGCCUAAUACAUGCAAGUCGAGCGAACAGACGAGGAGCUUGCUCCUUCGACGUUAGCGGCGGACGGGUGAGUAACACGUAGGUAACCUACCUAUAAGACUGGGAUAACUUCGGGAAACCGGAGCUAAUACCGGAUAAUAUUUCGAACCGCAUGGUUCGAUAGUGAAAGAUGGCUUUGCUAUCACUUAUAGAUGGACCUGCGCCGUAUUAGCUAGUUGGUAAGGUAACGGCUUACCAAGGCAACGAUACGUAGCCGACCUGAGAGGGUGAUUGGCCACACUGGAACUGAGACACGGUCCAGACUCCUACGGGAGGCAGCAGUAGGGAAUCUUCCGCAAUGGGCGAAAGCCUGACGGAGCAACGCCGCGUGAGUGAUGAAGGUCUUCGGAUCGUAAAACUCUGUUAUUAGGGAAGAACAAACGUGUAAGUAACUGUGCACGUCUUGACGGUACCUAAUCAGAAAGCCACGGCUAACUACGUG
rnacentral:rRNA from 1 species